ACGCUCGACACCUACAGGAGGCAGCAGUGGGGAAUAUUGCACAAUGGGGGAAACCCUGAUGCAGCAACGCCGCGUGAAGGAAGACGGUUUUCGGAUUGUAAACUUCUGUUCUUAGUGAAGAUAGUGACGGUAGCUAAGGAGCAAGCCACGGCUAACUACGUGUCAGCAGCCGCGGUAAUCUGAGGCGGGCGUGGCGAAGGC
rnacentral:rRNA from 1 species